GCCAGGCCCUACGGGGCGCAGCAGGCGCGAANACUUUACAAUGCGGGAAACCGUGAUAAGGGGACACCGAGUGCCAGCAUCAUAUGCUGGCUGUCCAGGUGUGUAAAAUACACCUGUUAGCAAGGGCCGGGCAAGACCGGUGCCAGCCGCCGCGGUAACACCGGCGGCCCGAGUGGUGAUCGUGAUUAUUGGGUCUAAAGGGUCCGUAGCCGGUUUGGUCAGUCCUCCGGGAAAUCUGAUAGCUCAACUAUUAGGCUUUCGGGGGAUACUGCCAGACUUGGAACCGGGAGAGGUAAGGGGUACUACAGGGGUAGGAGUGAAAUCUUGUAAUCCCUGUGGGACCACCUGUGGCGAAGGCGUCUUACCAGAACGGGUUCGACGGUGAGGGACGAAAGCUGGGGGCACGAACCGGAUUAGAUACCCGGGUAGUCCCAGCCGUAAACGAUGCUCGCUAGGUGUCAGGCAUGGCGCGACCGUGUCUGGUGCCGCAGGGAAGCCGUGAAGCGAGCCACCUGGGAAGUACGGCCGCAAGGCUGAAACUUAAAGGAAUUGGCGGGGGAGCACAACAACGGGUGGAGCCUGCGGUUUAAUUGGAUUCAACGCCGGG
rnacentral:rRNA from 1 species